UACUCGAGUGGCGAACGGGUGAGUAACACGUGGGUGAUCUGCCCUGCACUUCGGGAUAAGCCUGGGAAACUGGGUCUAAUACCGGAUAGGAGCCAUUUUUAGUGUGAUGGUUGGAAAGUUUUUUCGGUGUAGGAUGAGCUCGCGGCCUAUCAGCUUGUUGGUGGGGUAAUGGCCUACCAAGGCGGCGACGGGUAGCCGGCCUGAGAGGGUGGACGGCCACAUUGGGACCGAGAUACGGCCCAG
rnacentral:rRNA from 1 species